rnacentral:lncRNA from 1 species
CCAAAGGUUACGAACAUCAAAAGGUACGAGGACUAAGAGGCAUGAUUGGCCAAAGGGUGCAUGUUCCAAAUGGUGUCUUUCGAGACAGAUUAGGACCGAUCCUUACGGAUCAGCCUAUGGCUUGUCUAGUUAGGACAAGGUCACGGUUUGUCUAAGCCAAGAUAGAGUCGCAAGGUCUGACCGUUUGCUAAGCCUUCCGGAUUAGGCUUGAGGCUUACUCGGCCGAUUGGAUCCAGGCAUAAGGCCGGAUCAGGUAAGGGAGUCCGUUGGGCCAUUGAGCCGGACUUC